AUACGGAGGGGGUUAGCGUUGUUCGGAAUUACUGGGCGUAAAGCGCACGUAGGCGGACUGGAAAGUUGGGGGUGAAAUCCCGGGGCUCAACCCCGGAACUGCCUCCAAAACUUCCAAUCUAGAGAUCGAGAGAGGUGAGUGGAAUUCCAAGUGUAGAGGUGAAAUUCGUAGAUAUUAGGAGGAACACCAGUGGCGAAGGCGGCUCACUGGCUCGAUACUGACGCUGAGGUGCGAAAGCGUGGGGAGCAAACAGGAUUAGAAACCCUAGUAGUCC
rnacentral:rRNA from 1 species